GAUUCGCGCGGGGUCAGCUUGAUCAAUGGCAGCACCGUCUAGCGAGAACAAUGCUGGCGCUUCGCUGUCAUGCACUGACAGCGCAGUUGAAGCGUUUGUUGCAGAUGCCACCGAUAUUCGCGAUCUUCUUUACAAGUACCGUGCUGACGCAGAACUCUUGAGGCAUGAGCUGAGCAGCUUUGUACAUCGUGAGAUUGAUGAGCAGGCGCAAUUCUCGCACUUGCGUGCCUCUGUUAACCAAACCGAACUGGCCUCCCUGCAUGACCCCAGAUUUAUCGAGUAUCUAGCGCGACGUGAAGCGGAAGAGAAGCGUGUGACUCCGUCUGCUUUCUCAGCUGGUGACGCGACGAUCAGUGACCAAACUGAUGGUGUAGGAGCGACGAACGCCAGUGCUGACUUCCAGUGGUGGGCGCAACGUAUGAAAGAAGAGGGCUCACCAUGGCUUCGCUGCUGGACACCCGAUGCAGCGCUGCCCCUGGCAGCGUUCAGACGCCUGUCGGACGUGUGGAAGGGAUGGAAGCAUACAAGUGCUGCAUAUGAUACCGAAUUUGAUAGAAUGCUCGAGGAGGUGUAUGCAAGCACACCGCCGUCUUCUUGUAGCGCCAACAUGAGGUACUGCUGCUUUGGGAACGGCGCUCUUUGCAUUCUUCCCAUCAAAGAUGACGUGGCGAUAAUGGAUGACCUUGAAAAGAGGGUAUCACUGAUGGCGGGAGCCUCUUCGGAACCCUUUUCCAGAUCGCCUUCUUCGCUGAGCACGGACAACGCAGGCUACGCAGUGGCCUCUAUGCUCGAUAGCUAUUUUGCUGAGCUGACCAGCGCUGUUGCCAUGACGCGCGACGAACUUCACGAGAAGGUCUCCACACUGAUGCAGAAAAAGAAGCUGGCCAAUGCAGAUAGUCACGCCACAGUAGCAGACAGUUUUCGACUCACUGGUGAUGCCUGGGACACGUUGAGUUUUGCUCACCCGGAUAGACUGAAGCACGCUGUUAUGGUACGCGGCUUCUUCUUUAAAGGUAGGCUUUCCUUGGUGGAGCAGCUCGGCGCAGAAGUAGAUGUCGUACCACUCUUCUUUGCACAUGAGAAAGGCUCUAGCAUGUUGGAAGAGCGUGGACAGCGCGUUCAGCGCCUUUUCUCGCAGACCCUGUCUACUCUCUACAGGGAGCUUGAACGAGCCUGCAACGGCGCCACGAUGCUAGGUGAAACAGCCCUUCCGCCAAACGCAGCACUCACUGUUGCUGUGAAGGUGCCCUCCUCUGAGCGCGACGUGGUCAAGGGUGUGCUGCUAGACGUGCACCCAGUGAGCCCUCAGUUGCCGUUUGACGGUCACGUCACCUGGAUGGACGUGUGCGCCGUCGGGCGGCAGCGUGCCUGUGCCCCGCCAGGGACUCAGGGGCCACUUGGCGCUGCCGCCGUCUCACGCGGCAGCAGCGACGAAGAGUGCAGUGUUCUCUUCCGCCUCACCCGUCUACCUGUGGCGUCACUGCAGCCGUACGAUGCCGUAAGCCGUCGCGUCUUUCCACUGCUUAAUAGACAGCUCACUGCAGACCAGCGGCGCAAACACGAAAGGACAGACGAGGAUGUAGAAGUGCCAACGGGAGGUGUGGCUAGCGUCUCGUACUCAGUUCCUUCGAUGACUGUACCCAUCUGUGUUGGCGCUGUAGCGUGUGUAGCUGCGGCACUAAGCGUGGCUUGCUGGGUUCGUCGAUCUUAGCUUUUUUUUUUGAACUUCUUUUUUAGGAUUUUGCGUCUCGAAAAGCUGUGCUGAGGCACUCGUGGCCUGUUCCAGCUUUUGGCGCCUCCGAUCCCGCUUCUUUAUCUUUGUUUGGCCCUGUUGUUGCUCUCCUGGGCAACCUUCUUCAGUAUGCCCCGCCGCACAGACCCGCGUGCUUUUCCUCCUCUCGUAUCGGCGUGUCGGUGUGGUCCCGUUGAGCAAAAGGUCGAACUUCUCCAGCACAAACUUUUUUUUCGUGCUUUCUGCCCUUUCCCCCUCCUCCUCUUCUUCCCCCCGCUUUCGUCACGUGCCACACCGAUGUACCGGCAUGUGCUUGAACUUAGAUGGGCUUGGCUUUCUUCAGAACAAUCCUCUUUUUUUUUCGGUUUGGUUCGAUUGCCUUUGCCGUCUAAAUGCUCACGAUGCACACACACACACACACACAGACACUUACACAUAGGCACAUGCGAACAUGGUAACGAGGGAACAGAAGCCGCGUACCCCGUCCCCACGCUCAUCGGCGCUGCUUGCAUCUUUUUCUCGAGUACUUUUGCAUGUUGCCUUCUACUUUUUCCUUCUUGAACCUUUCCACGAAUCCGUGACGCUGACUUUUGCCCCCGCUUCCCCCUUCUUCCUCUUUCUCCUUGAUGACAGGGGAUAUCAAGGCGCGGUAUCUCAGGGCCCAGCGCCCCCGCUCUGUGGGGGGGGGGGAGACAGGCGGCCCCGCCCCCGCCCUAUCCCCAGCCAAAUGCCGAGCCGCUCCUCUGGUGGCCACAGGGUCGAGCGCCGACGGCGUGGAAGUCAGAGCGACACAUGGCUACUCGUG
rnacentral:misc_RNA from 1 species